rnacentral:rRNA from 1 species
AUUGAACGCUGGCGGCAGGCCUAACACAUGCAAGUCGAGCGGAUGAAGGGAGCUUGCUCCUGGAUUCAGCGGCGGACGGGUGAGUAAUGCCUAGGAAUCUGCCUGGUAGUGGGGGAUAAGGUCAGGAAAGGGGCGCUAAUCCCGAAUCCGUCCUGAGGGCGAAACGGGGGGUUCUUUGGUCAUCACGUUUUCAGUUAACCCUAGGUCGGAUUAGCUAGUGGGUGGGGUAAAGGCCUACCGAGGCGACGAUCCGUAACUGGUCUGAGAGGAUGAUCAGUCACACUGGAACUGAGACACGGUCCAGACUCCUACGGGAGGCAGCAGUGGGGAAUAUUGGACAAUGGGCGAAAGCCUGAUCCAGCCAUGCCGCGUGUGUGAAGAAGGUCUUCGGAUUGUAAAGCACUUUAAGUUGGGAGGAAGGACAGUAAGUUAAUACCUUGCUGUUUUGACGUUACCAACAGAAUAAGCACCGGCUAACUUCGUG